rnacentral:rRNA from 1 species
UACGUAGGGUGCAAGCGUUGCCCGGAAUUAUUGGGCGUAAAGAGCUUGUAGGCGGUUUGUCGCGUCUGCUGUGAAAUUUCGGGGCUCAACCCCGAACUUGCAGUGGGUACGGGCAGACUAGAGUGUGGUAGGGGAGACUGGAAUUCCUGGUGUAGCGGUGAAAUGCGCAGAUAUCAGGAGGAACACCAAUUGCGAAGGCAGCUCGCUGGGACGUAACUGACGCUGAGACGCGAAAGCGUGGGGAGCAAACAGG